AAAUCUCAGAAACCUCAUAUGCUGUGGUCUUCACAUUUAACCUGGUUAACAUCAGCAUGUCAGAAGACCCUGAUCUCAGAGGCAACACCUACCAGCAAGUGAAGGAUAUCAUCAAUAAUGCGCUGAACACUCUUCUGAAUGAACCUGGCAAGGACAUUUUUGAACCCAAAUCUUCCAAUUUUACGAGCUCUUCAAACCAGAUUGAUGGCAUGAUGGACUACAGCUUCCAGGAUGGAGAUGCCAUACAACCAGUCAGCUUCCUAAAUGAGCUACAUCUGCC